AGCGUUCUUACAGGAGGAAUACGAGGUUUUUCUUGUAUCCAGGUGUUUCUUGGAGAAUAUAAUCAGUAUUUGCAUCAUCCAGGAUAUUUCAUGGAAUAAACCUUGGUCGUCCUCCAAACCUAGAGUCAUCUGUUUCCAGAAAACAAGUUUCUGUUACUCUAGAGCUCAAUGGCAAUAAGCAUUACCGCACGCCGUCAGAUACAUGGCAUUGUGCAUGGUGAUCUUAGGUUGGAAUUCCAUCAGUGUGAGCCUAUGUCUGGACCAGCCAGGGA